ensembl:lncRNA
UGCUCUCUUUUGCAAUACUGUCCCAUCUCAGCACAAGGCUGAAUUUAUUGCUGUAAUAGCUGCAAUUCAGACAAAGCAUUAUCAUUUCCCAGAGUUGGUUUUUGGUUUUUUUUUUCUUGUUUUUCACAAAAAGUGAAGUUUUAGCCAGGACACUAUAACAAAAAUUUCAGUUAGGUAAUAAAAUUCUGCUUAUUAAAAAUUUCCCUUUUAAAAUCUGUCCUAACUACUUUUCCUUUGAGCACUUUUAAAGGCAUAAUUCACUUUAAAUUCACAGCUUUCCAAAUUCUGAAGCCGGCUGAAAUUUUCCUGGACUGCCUAAACCAGAAUGUGCAGUUCCAGCUAAGAUAUCUAAAGGCACAAAGAGCUGAGGAAGGCUGGCAUGCCGAGGAGGGGAGAGGCCAGGAUUGUCACCCAGAGCUCCCAGAGCAGGUGUGCCUGGGCAGCUCUGGGCUCCCACACUGCAGCCAAGGCUUUCAAGAGGGGUGGCACAAUUCAAGAGAGGAUACUGAUGAAAUCACACUCAAACCUGAGUCUGAACAAGUCAGCAGAGCGCAGCUUUUGGGAGGAUUUCCUACCAUGGCUCCUCUUCCUCAGGCUACCAAGCCACUGCCCAGGCUUGCCCAUGUCCAGUGGUCUCUGUUUGGGUCAUCCCAGCUCUGCUCCCUCUGCUCUGCCCUUUCUGCACCUCUGGAUUUCCAGAGAGCAAAUUUCUUGAUCCAGUUUCAGCCCAGGCACUUGCCUCCUUUGGAGCCUCUACCAAACCACACUGCUCUGGGGAAGGAGUCACCUUCAUCCAUCACAUUCCCAAAGUUCACUGACAAAAAUAAUCAGCACCAGACAAAUGAGGAUAACAUCCACAUUGUUACUGGGAUAUGAAAGUCAACACAACCUGAUACAAAAUGGGGAUGAUAAUGAAAGACCAGGUGACAUUUCAAGCUGACAUUUCAGGCCAGCAUUUUAGUGAUGUUUAUAAAAAUAUUAGCUUAACAAUAUGUUGAAAAAGGAUUUUGCAGAAUUGGGCCCGAGUCUGGGACUGUUUAUAGUGGAUUUAGCCAAGUAUAUCUCACCUUAGUUUCUAGACUAAAUCAUCAGAGAUGAGUUCCUGGACAAUGUUUCUCAGACUGUGUUUUACAGCUCUUUAGUGGUCAUAAAUGAGUCCCAAAAACCACACUGCCUUAGACUUACUGGGAUCAGCUCUGUCCUCCAACACUGGCCUCAGCAAUUUCAAUUAGCUCUCCUCCCUGUGCCUCAGCUGAGCAGAGCUGCUGCCAGGAAUGAAAAGUGCAGGUGCUGCAAGGGUUAUGAGAGUGGGAAGAAGGGAGAGGAAAAGGGAGUUGUGAUAAGAGACUGGAGUCCUGCAUUCCUAUUCAAGAAAUACUGCUGCAAAGAAAUGAAAAUACUUUAGUUUUUGCUGCAUUAGUGCAAGGAUUAAUUGAAAGUGUCCGAGUUACAGCAGCUAUUACACUGCAAGAAAGCAGAAUAACACUGGAACCCAAGGUCAGAAACGAAACAGAACAAUAUCUUGCACUCAGCCAUUGCACUGAACCACCAUGGAACAAACCAGGCUGCCCUACUUCAGCUACAGGAAAAUUCUGACCAUGUGGUUUAACCCCAAAUAAACACCACAAAGCUGCCCA